AGUUCAACUUUAAAACAAACACACGCUUCUAUCCCCCCAUUUUCAUCAUAAAACUGAUCUCUCAGAGUCAGGAUUUCUGCUACGACUUCUGUUUUGGGUUUUUGCAUGUACCCUAAUCAGUAAUCAGCACCAAAUCUCUCGAUCGCUACCUGUCGAAGAGUGAAAAGUCGACUACCCGAACGCUAUUGAUUGUGUGGAACCCAGCGAUUAGUCGCAUCUCCCGGCUUCUCUGGCUAUUUCCGGAGGUGUACGCGGUUUGACAUCUGUGGAAUUUCAAUUGCCUGGAUCGGAAUUUGAAUUGUUUUUGUUUUUAAUAUUCUUUUGCGCCGAGAACUUUGACUUUAAGGUUAUUACGAUGCUCUUCCACUGUGGAAUAUCUUAGAAGGAAAUCAAGCCCUGUGAUAUAAAAUAGUGAAAUUGUCGGAAUAUCCAGGUUUUCAACAUAAAGAAAGUGAUUGUAACAUUGACCAGCUGAAAUGAGAUGCAAUGCUUGCUGGCGAGAAUUGGAAGGACGAGCUGUUACCACCACCUGUGGUCACCUCUUGUGCCCUGAAGAUGCCAACAAGAUUCUUAGUAAUGUUGGUGCUUGUCCGAUCUGCGAUCAAGUCCUGUCCAAAAGUCUUAUGAAACCUGUCGAUAUCAAUCCAAAUGAUGAGUGGGUAAAUAUGGCCAUGGCUGGAGUAUCUCCUCAGACCUUGAUGAAGAGCGCAUAUAGAAGUAUCACAUUCUAUAUUGGACAAAAGGAUUUGCAGAUGCAAUUUAAGAUGAACAAAAUAGUAGCUCAGUGCCGGCAGAAGUGUGAGGCAAUGCAAGAGAAAUUUACAGAAAAAUUGGAGCAGAUUUAUACUGCCUACCAGAAAAUGACAAAGAGGUGCCAGAUGAUGGAGCAAGAGAUAGAGAGCUUGUCUAAAGACAAGCAAGAGCUUCAAGAAAAAUUUGCAGAGAAGUGCAGGCAGAAGAGAAAACUUGAUGAAAUGUAUGAUCUAGCAAGAAGUGAAAUUGAAUCAUUGAAGCGAUCAGCAAGUCAGCCUGCAAACCACUUCUUUUCCAGACAAGAACCUGAUCUUUUCUCAAAUCCAGCUCCCAGGAUGGAUAACAGGGAUUCUAUUCGGAAAGAUUGGUCGGUUCUCACUCCUAACACUCCAGGGCCAAGAGAGGACAUGUGGCCAGCAAGACAGAACAGUCCUAACUCUGCAUUCAACGUCUCUGGUGGCUCACCUGCAAAGCAGUCCGUAGUUCCAACUGACACUGUAAACAGACUGCCUGCUACUCAUUCUUCCUUUGGUAUGGGAAAUGGAGCUGGAGCCGGCAAUCCUUCAUUGACUCUUAGAAACCUUAUCCUUUCACCAAUCAGACGGCCUCAGCUCUCUAGGAAUCGACCUCAAUUGUUCAAGUUGUAGACAGGAGACAUCUCCCAUCCCUAAGCCAGUUGUAAUUGCCCUUGGAUGCAUAUUCCAAUUAUCUAGUGCACGCCGUUGCCACUCUAGAAUGAGGCUAUCGUCCAUUUGUUGAAUCCCAUUUCUCCAGCAGAUUAAGCUUCGAUCACGAGUAUAUAUAUAGCCGAGCGUUGACGCCGAGGUCUUCUUAUUUCUUCGCCCACAUUUUGCAUUGGCUCAUUUUGCGCCUCAUUAUCAUCACCACCGAACCGACUUGAUGUUGUUGUAGAAUUAGACUCCACAUUAUCACGAUACACUAGACGAUGAACCAGCUAUAUCCACCCAAACAUCAUGACGUUCAACUGAAUCAAUAGACGAAUGGCUAGAACUUCUUUUUUGUCUGUGGAAUGUUGUGGGAGCAUCAUCGGAUGAAGAAGCAAUUUAUUGUGGCUGAAUGGUUAUAACUUCCUUGAUAAUAUGUAACCCGUGUCCUUGGCGGGUGACCCCCAGAAAAUAAAUUGACAAAGGAAGGAGGUUGAAGGCCCAUUUGACCCAUGAAGAAAUCUAAAGCCCAAGUCAUGCCAAUCAAUUCAUGAUGAGGAUGGCCCAAUGAAAAAUUAUCAGGCCCAACUCAAGAAAGAAACUCAAUACACUAAGAUCAAUCUGAGAAGGCCUGCCUUCGAAGCUCAGCCCUAGGGGAAGGGAGGAGUCCUCGAAAAAUUGGACUCCUUGACUCUUUGCAGAAGUAGGAGUUCUCCUUUAAGCGAAGGCGUGCUGCUCAAGUCAAGGAGGAGAUAAGAUCGUGCCUUACCCCGGAUUUUCGCCUUCUUUCUCAGAAAUGCAAGUCACCCCAAAGUUCCUGCGAAGAGGGACUCCUUCUCUAUAAAUACAGGUAGCACCCCUCAACACGGAUGCCUACAGCCCCCUAGCAGAUAACGCUUCAAGGAGCUGGAAACUAUCUUGCUAUUUUCCUUCAACUCUCAACUCGUGCUUUUGCCAUAUUUUACUCACAAAAUUGUUAUUUUUAUUUUAAUUUCUCAUUUCAGCACCCCACAAGAGGGACACAUUCUGUCCACCAAAAGGGACACCCUCUAGAAUAUGAAAAACUACUCUCUAUUCUUGUUUUAGCAAUUGGAUUGCGCUCUUAGCACGAUUUCUUUAAUAAAAUUGCUUACU